rnacentral:piRNA from 1 species
UCACUGUGGUUGGUCUGAACAUUUGAUAUU